rnacentral:rRNA from 1 species
AAUAUUGGACAAUGGGGGCAACCCUGAUCCAGCCAUCCCGCGUGUGCGAUGAAGGCCUUCGGGUUGUAAAGCACUUUUGUUAGGGAAGAAAAGGCUCUGGCUAUUACCUGGAGCUGUUGACGGUACGUGCAGAAUAAGCACCGGCUACCUACGUACCCGCAGCGGCGGUAAUACGUAGGGUGCAAGCGUUAAUCGGAAUUACUGGGCGUAAAGCGUGCGCAGGCGGUUCGGCAAGAAGGAUGUGAAAACCCAGGGCUUAACCUUAGAACUGCAUUCUUAACUGCCGGGCUAGAGUAUGUCAGAGGGGGGUAGAAUUCCGCGUGUAGCAGUGAAAUGCGUAGAGAUGCGGAAGAAUACCGAUGGCGAAGGCAGCCCCCUGGGAUAAUACUGACGCUCAUGCACGAAAGCGUGGGGAGCAAACA